rnacentral:tRNA from 1 species
ACCGCGAUAGCUCAGCUGGUAGAGCAUCGGUCCGGUAUGCGGUGGGCCGCCGGUUCGUUUACGGCUCGCGGUG